rnacentral:rRNA from 11 species
AGACAAUCAGGAGGUUUGCUUAGAAGCAGCAAUCCUUUAAAGAGUGCGUAAUAGCUCACUGAUCGAGUAAACCUGCGCCGAAAAUGUACGGGACUAAGUAAUUUGCCGAAACUGUGCGAUAUAUAAAAUAUAUCGGUAGGGGAGCGUUCUGUUGUAGGUUGAAGUAUUAGCGGAAGCGGAUAUGGACGAAGCAGAAGUGAGAAUGUCGGCUUGAGUAACGAAAAUAUAGGUGAGAAUCCUAUACCCCGAAAACCCAAGGUUUCCUCCGGAAGGCUCGUCCGCGGAGGGUAAGUCAGGACCUAAGGCGAGGCUGAAAAGCGUAGUCGAUGGACAACGGGUUAAUAUUCCCGUACCAUUAUUUGUUGAUAUCGAGGGACGGAGAAGGCUAAGCUGGCCGGAUAUUGGUUACCGGUUUAAACGUUCGAGAUGAUGAGAAACGGCGAAAACGUUUUGAGUUGAGGCGUGAGUACGAGAUGCUACGGCAUUGAAGCAGUCUAUGUCAUACUUCCAAGAAAAGCUUGCACUGUCAUAAACAAAUAAUGCCUGUACCAUAACCGACACAGGUGGGUAGGUAGAGUAUACUAAGGGGCGCGAGAUAACUCUCUCUAAGGAACUCGGCAAAAUGACUCCGUAACUUCGGGAGAAGGAGUGCCUUAUUUAUAAGGUUGCAAUAACAAGAUCCAAGCAACUGUUUAUCAAAAACACAGGUCUCCGCUAAGUCGUAAGACGAUGUAUGGGGGCUGACGCCUGCCCAGUGCCAGAAGGUUAAAGAAGUUGGUUAGCAUUAGCGAAGCUGAUAACUGAAGCCCUGGUGAACGGCGGCCGUAACAAUAACGGUCCUAAGGUAGCGAAAUUCCUUGUCGGGUAAGUUCCGACCCGCACGAAAGGCGUAAUGAUUUGGAUACUGUCUCAGAGAGGGGCUCGGUGAAAUAGACUUGUCUGUGAAGAUGCGGACUACCUGCACCAGGACAGAAAGACCCUAUGAAGCUUUACUGUAACUUGAAAUUGAAAUUGGACUUUAUUUGCGCAGUAUAGGUGGGAGGCUUUGAAGGUAUUCUUGUGGGAAUACUGGAGCCAUCAGUGAGAUACCACUCUUGUAAUGUUAGAUUUCUAACUUUGAAUCAUUAUCUGGUCAAAGAACAGUUUCAGGCGGGCAGUUUGACUGGGGCGGUCGCCUCCUAAACGGUAACGGAGGCGCACAAAGGUUUCCUCUGAACGGGUAGAAAUCGUAUCUAGAGUGUAAAGGCAUAAGGAAGCUUGACUGUGAGACCUACAAGUCGAGCAGGGACGAAAGUCGGUCUUAGUGAUCUGACGGUGCUGAGUGGAAAGGCCGUCACUCAACGGAUAAAAGUUACUCUAGGGAUAACAGGCUGAUCUCCCCCAAGAGUUCACAUCGACGGGGAGGUUUGGCACCUCGAUGUCGGCUCAUCGCAUCCUGGGGCUGAAGGCGGUCCCAAGGGUUAGGCUGUUCGCCUAUUAAAGCGGUACGCGAGCUGGGUUCAGACCGGCGUGAGCCAGGUCGGUCCCUAUCUGUUGUGGGCGUUGCAAACUUGAGAGGAGUCAACUUUAGUACGAGAGGAUUAGGUUGGACUGACCCCUGGUGAUCCUGUUGGGCUGCUAAGCCCAUCGCAGGGUAGCUACGUCGGGCAGGGAUAACAGCUGAAAGCAUCUAAGCAGGAAGCCCCCCUCAAGAUCAGGUUUGCUUGUCUUGUACGUGAGACCCCUGGGAGACUACCAGGUUGAUAGGCCGCAGGUGUAAGGGUUGAGAAGCCCUCAGCUGAGCGGUACUAACGGUCGAAGGUUUG